rnacentral:rRNA from 1 species
GAUGAACGCUGGAGGCGUGCUUUACACAUGCAAGUCGAACGGUAACAGGGUGCUUGCACCGCUGACGAGUGGCGAACGGGUGAGUAAUGCGUCGGAACGUGCCGAGUAGUGGGGGAUAACGCAGCGAAAGUUGUGCUAAUACCGCAUACGUACUGAGGUAGAAAGUGGGGGACCUUCGGGCCUCACGCUAUUCGAGCGGCCGACGUCUGAUUAGCUAGUAGGUGAGGUAAAGGCUCACCUAGGCGACGAUCAGUAGCGGGUCUGAGAGGAUGAUCCGCCACACUGGGACUGAGACACGGCCCAGACUCCUACGGGAGGCAGCAGUGGGGAAUUUUGGACAAUGGGCGAAAGCCUGAUCCAGCCAUGCCGCGUGUCUGAAGAAGGCCUUCGGGUUGUAAAGGACUUUUGUCAGGGAGGAAAUCCCUAGCGUUAAUACCGCUGGGGGAUGACAGUACCUGAAGAAUAAGCACCGGCUAACUACGUGCCAGCCGCCGCCGUAA